CCUACGGGUGGCAGCAGUGAGGAAUAUUGGUCAAUGGACGAGAGUCUGAACCAGCCAAGUAGCGUGAAGGAUGACUGCCCUAUGGGUUGUAAACUUCUUUUAUAUGGGAAUAAAACGUUCCACGUGUGGGAUUUUGUAUGUACCAUAUGAAUAAGGAUCGGCUAACUCCGUGCCAGCAGCCGCGGUAAUACGGAGGAUCCGAGCGUUAUCCGGAUUUAUUGGGUUUAAAGGGAGCGUAGGUGGAUUGUUAAGUCAGUUGUGAAAGUUUGCGGCUCAACCGUAAAAUUGCAGUUGAAACUGGCAGUCUUGAGUACAGUAGAGGUGGGCGGAAUUCGUGGUGUAGCGGUGAAAUGCUUAGAUAUCACGAAGAACUCCGAUUGCGAAGGCAGUUCACUGGACUGCAACUGACACUGAGGCUCGAAAGUGUGUGUAUCAAACAGGAUUAGAUACCCCAGUAGUC
rnacentral:rRNA from 1 species